CCUACGGGUGGCAGCAGUAGGGAAUAUUGCUCAAUGGGGGAAACCCUGAAGCAGCAACGCCGCGUGGAGGAUGAAGGUUUUCGGAUUGUAAACUCCUUUUGUUAGAGAAGAUAAUGACGGUAUCUAACGAAUAAGCACCGGCUAACUCCGUGCAAGCAGCCGCGGUAAUACGGGGGGUGCAAGCGUUACUCGGAAGCACUGGGCGUAAAGAGGGCGUAGGCGGGAUAGCAAGUCAGAUGUGAAAUCCUAUGGCUUAACCAUAGAACUGCAUUUGAAACUGUUAUUCUAGAGUAUGGGAGAGGUAUGUGGAAUUCUUGGUGUAGGGGUAAAAUCCGUAGAGAUCAAGAAGAAUACUGAUUGCGAAGGCGACCUGCUAGAACAAAACUGACGCUGAUGCGCGAAAGCGUGGGGAGCAAACAGGAUUAGAUACCCCAGUAGUC
rnacentral:rRNA from 1 species